AAACUAACAAGGAUUCCCCUAGUAACGGCGAGUGAAGAGGGAAGAGCCCAAGAUUGAAAGCUGGCGUCUUCGGCGUCCGCAUUGUAAUCUCAAGAAGUGUUUUCCGCUUCGGACCAUGCCUAAGUCCCUUGGAAAAGGGCAUCAUAGAGGGUGAUAAUCCCGUACAUGGCAUGGAGCGCCCGAAGCUUUGUGAUACGCUUUCUACGAGUCGAGUUGUUUGGGAAUGCAGCUCAAAAUGGGUGGUAAAUGCCAUCUAAGGCUAAAUAUUGGGGAGAGACCGAUAGCGAACAAGUACAGUGAUGGAAAGAUGAAAAGAACUUUGAAAAGAGAGUUAAACAGUACGUGAAAUUGCCAAAAGGGAAGGGUAGGAGGUCAGAGAUGCGUCUUGGGAUUCAGCCUUGCUUUUUCGCUUGGUGUUUUUCCCAAGUUGCAGGCCAACGUCGGUUUUGGGCACUGGAGAAGGGUGGGAGGAACGUGGCACCUCUCGGGGUGUGUUAUAGCCUCCUACUGGAUACAGCGACCGAGACCGAGGACAGCAGCGUACUCGCAAGAGCGGGCCUUCGGGCACCUUUACGCUUAGGGCGUUGGCAUAAUGGCCCUCUACCAC
rnacentral:rRNA from 1 species